rnacentral:rRNA from 1 species
GGAGUUAGCCGGUGCUUCUUCUGUGAGUGAUGUCCUUCCUGCCGGUUAUUGACCCGCAGGCCUUCUUCCUCACUGAAAGUGCUUUACAACCCGAAGGCCUUCUUCACACACGCGGCAUGGCUGGAUCAGGGUUGCCCCCAUUGUCCAAUAUUCCCCACUGCUGCCUCCCGUAGGAGUCUGGGCCGUGUCUCAGUCCCAGUGUGGCUGAUCAUCCUCUCAGACCAGAUACGGAUCGUCGCCUUGGUGAGCCGUUACCUCACCAACCAGCUAAUCCGACAUAGGCUCAUCCGAUAGCGCGAGGCCCGAAGGUCCCCCGNUUUCCCCCGUAGGGCGUAUGCGGUAUUAGCCUGGGUUUCCCCAGGUUAUCCCCCACUACCGGGCAGAUUCCUAUGCAUUACUCACCCGUCCGCCGCUCGCCACCAGGGAGCAAGCUCCCCGUGCUGCCGCUCGACUUGCAUGUGUUAGGCCUGCCGCCAGCGUUCAAUCUGAGCCAGAAUCGAACCUNACGACGNGCGGCG